CUUCUGAAAGUCAUUAGGAGACGGUUAAUUGGGAUGGGGCUGGGAGCUGCCUGCUGGGGGGGGGGAGGGGGCACAUGGUGGCUCCCCAGGGCUCCGAAAUGUUGUGAGCUGCAGCUGCCGCUCCUGGUCCUGGCCAGCCACUUGGCCUUUCCUCCUCCAGUCUUGGCAUGGAUCGUGUUUGCCAUAUUUCUGCUCGUCGCCGGUGCUUUUCUGAUGCUUCCCAGCCCGACAGGCAGCGCCCUGAGCUGUGCACUGCGAUCCAGCCUCCGGGUACAGGAUGCUCCUUUCCCAGCCGUGCUGUGCCCUGCUCCUGGCUGUAACAUUUUAUGAAGAUGGAUGGAUUUUCAGUCGCACAGAUGCAUAAGUGCGUCGUGCUUGCAGUUUGGUUUUGCUCACCCUGCAGUGCUGUGUAAAACUGCUGCAGCAUCACAAGCAUGUGGGUGGCCACUGAAGAAAGGGGAAAUAUGACAAUAAUUUGUUUUUGGUCGUGCCUUGGAACAGAAGACAAACAGGAAUCUGACCACAUCCCCCAGCACUCGGCAGUGAUUUGAAAUCCACAGCACGCGGUGUGCUGAGGCAGUGUCCUGCACUGCAAGGGGUGGGACCAGCAAGCAGGAAUUCUGAUUUUUUAAUGCAUCAUGAACCAGCUUACUGGAGUCUAUCUGGUGCUGCAUCUCAACUAAACAUCUCAAAAUGCAGGGGAACAGGGAAAAAAAGAACAGAUUUGAAAUCAUCAGCAGCAACGCGGUUUACCCUGGGUUUGAAUGUGAUGGAGACGUUCUAAAUCCUGGAGUGAGUGACAGAUUCAGGUGGCAAAUACUCUGGAAAGAAGCCCAGUGCCGGUGGUCCUGGCGGUGCCAGAGGGGCAGGGUGCUGCCCUGCAGUGCCUGUGAGAGGCUGAACUGGAAUCCCAUAUGCUGCAAAAAGAUCUGAUCCCCGACACAGGCUGCUCUUUCAAGGUCAUUUCGUUCUGCUUCAGGGUGCAGGGAAUUGUAUUUCUGAGCUUUUCCAGAUUAAGGGACAUAUGAGCAGCAGGCCUGAAUUUCUCCUUGGCUUUUUGUGGUUUUUGCUUAGGCUUGGAAUGUCACUCAAGAAGCUUGUGUUUAAGUCAGGAAACCUGGACUGUGCACAAACACCAAGAGACACCCUUACAGGGCAGCUUGCUGCAGAGCAUUUCAUACACAGUGCAAGACGCCCUGGACUUAGGUACCUGCUCCAUCCAGCCCAGGAUGGAUCCAGCACUGCACCACCAAGGUCUCAGGAGGGUCAGGCUUUAGCUGGGCUAUGUAACGGGGAGCCCAGGUAAAGCACAAAGGUCCCUUGUGCAAAAAACAGCUACUGCUCCCCCAGCCCUGGCAGUGAGACAAGGCAGUACAAACCUCUGAGUGCCUCAGACACCUGGAAGUACAGCUCAGCUGUGCUAAGUACUCGAGUUCUUACCCCAAAUAAUCUGUAGUCUAUCCAGUUAAAGAUCUCCUUCAGUUCUUCAGCUCCACAUAUGGGGGAAGCACAGUGCUCAGCAUUGGUCAUCACUGAGUAAGUCUAGAUCAAAUAGAGCGAAACAGACAGUUCUGAUGCUGAAGUCAUUAAAUCUUUUGGCUAAGCUAAAAAGGCAGAGUGAAUAAUGUUUUUAAUAUGCCCAGGAAAUCCUCCAUAUCGGAUGAGAUCAGAAGAAGCCAUUAGCAAGGAGGGACAGGGAUUCUUCUCCAAACAAAGGCAGAUACUGAGUAAUUGCAGCUCUAUAAACACAGCAUCACUUAAAAUAUUCAAUAAUUCACCCAGCAUCUGGGGAAGCAUCAAAACUUUGUGUUUAAUAUAAAGGUGGAUGGGUGAAAAAUAAUUAGGACCCUUACAGUUCCACACUUACUUUUCUAAUCUGUAUUGUACUCAGGCCAUUAUAUAUUUAAAGGGUUUAUUCUGUGCUAAUGGGAAUGGUAUUGGCAAAUUCAUCUCAUGUUCAGAGAAGAGCCUUCACCAUCUUUGUUCUUCUGAAUUAAAGGACAGAGGCAAGGAUUUUUCUGAAUACCCGCUCUUUUAUUUUUCAUAAAAGGCUAAAGAGAUGCUUGCUUUACAGAUUACAUCUUCUUUCUGACAACAAAUUCCACUUUAUCUAGAGAGAAAAGAUGAGAAAACAGCAAAACCUGUAACUUAAUAUAACACUACAUGCUGAGAUAGCACAGGUUUUCAUUAGCUCCUAAUAGCAGAGGAACAUUUGAGUGGUUCUCAAGCAUCCGUUAACCCUGAAAACACCACUAAAGCACAAGAGCAGUGUGAUAACAAUUUUAUGGGGACCAAAUAUGUAGUCAACUUAUCCAGCAGCCCAUGGCUCUGCCUCCAAGCACCUUUCAGAUUAGCUGUUAGCCAACCUGUUGUACGCCUCCUUCGCUUAAUGUCGUGCUAUAAAUCACGGUGUACAAUUUAAGAAGGAAGUCUGUGCUGGUCUAGCAGUCGUCAUUGCUAGUAAUGGACUCAAGCUGCAAAAUUUGGAUUCAAAGCUCAGAGCUGUUUGGAUUUAGGGUUUUAGGUUGCCCAUUAUAGAAAUAAGAAACAGAUGGGAUUUGCAGGCCUGGUUCGGACUCCACACUUCUCAUAAGGUCAGUGUUGUUUAAAUCAAAUCAGAUUUUAAGUCAGAUUCAUUUCUGCCUGUGCCCGCGUGUUGUGUGGCGCAAAGUAUCCCCAGGGCCAGAAUCAUUAAAAUACCGAGUAUGUUCUGUAUAUCUCAGAAAAGGAAUAUUACUGCUGGUUCUGCAAGCAAAGUGAAAUUAGUGGGAAUUGGGAACAUUUGCAGGCAGGGCCAAAAAGGUCCUUAGCAUGCAUUUAUACAUCAAAGAUCCUGUAUUUUUAGAGCUUUAUAGUUGAGGAACUUACAGUAUCCCUUUUUCCUCUCACAAGGCUCUGUGAGACUCACGGAAGGGCUUGCUAUAUCCUUACCAAUUUGCAGAAGAGCACACCUUGCCUUGGCCUGCUGCAGACUGUCUCUCUUGGGGCGGGACUGGCAGAGUGUUUUACUCGGCUGGCUCGCCACACGAAGCUGUUGCUUCGUCGUCUUUUCAAACCAAGCCUCGGUAUCUUCCCUCUGGAAGAAUCACCUCCGCUGAACAAAUUACUAAAUUUAGUAGCGAAAUAACAGGCUCAGAUUGCAUUUUGCUGAAGGUCAGAUUAGAGUAUCUAAUGGGGUUGUCUGGCUUUCACAUCUAAAUGCCAUUUGAAAUAAGGCUGCUGAGCACCUUUCGGUCUGUGUCGGUGUGCAACUGACUGUGCUUUGUCACUUACCAGUAACAACCCAGUAAUUCUGCAAUUCCUGUGAAAGGGGAACUUCCCAGGGGACUUUCACUGGUUCCCAGUGCCUUGUGGAGAUUAUCUAGAAGAAGAGAUUUAUAGAAGCGCAGAGUUAAAGAUUCACAAGCAGGUGUUAUCUCAAAUGUGCUGCGCAGCUCAUAUCCAUGCCAACAGAUCAUGGACAAAAUACAUAAGCUGCUCUUCCCAGGGUGUCUAUUCAACAGGCCAGCUGCUUUUGUCACGGGUGCACGAAACGGGAGUAUCUAAUAAGGAAGCACUUUGAUGUCACUGAGCCUAGCUGCCAGACCAGCUGCGACAAGGGCAAUGCCUUGGGACACCGCGCUGCGAUGCUGCAGGGAAUAAAGAGCUAAGGAGGGCAAAUGUUCAGUCUUUAAAGGCUUCCAGCCUAAUGUAGGAUUAGUGGAGAGAAAAUGGACUGCACAUUAAAAUUCAUGAAGGAGUACAAUUUAAGAUCUAUGAAUAACAGGGCCACGAUUACGCAGGGCUGGGGAUUUGGUUUUGUUUUAGUUUUUUUCCAGUGCUGGUGGAAGAACGAAGCCAUUAGCGGGACGUGUGUGGCUGUCGUAGGCUCUGCCUUUGUUGCUGGGUGCUGUGGACAUCCACAGCUGAUGAUACUGAAGGGUUAAACAUGGGGACAAGAGCAAAUUGGAUAAUGCAACCUCUGCUCCAUAGAAUCACAGAUGAAAUACAAGUUUUUUGUGGUCUGUUUGGUAGGCCCAUUUCCUUGUUUCUGGAUCUGAAGGCCGCAUCUGAGGCAAGGAGACACCUCAAUGGUGGCUGGGCCUAGCCUGUGAGCUGCUCAUGGUGGCCCAGAAAACAUGUCAUGAAGGCAACCACAGGAAGCAAUAAGGGGAAUUUCGACCAAAAAGAUGUCCCAAGGGUUCUGGGGAGACCCUGUCACACUGGGAGAAGAAGCUCCAAAGCCAGGCUGCGGAAAGAAGCAGAAGAUGGACCUGACCCUGUGGGUCAUGGGAAGAGGAGGAAGGCAGUGGGUGCAUGCAGCUCAUCACCACCUGAUUUUGGGAGAGCAUGGAGGAGAUCUGGCUUUUCUUAAUGACUUGCUGUGAGAAAAGCUCAGGCCAGGGGUUAACUUGUCCUCCACAGUCCCCUCCGUGAGCACCGAGUUGGUGAAACCAGUCAGCUGCCUUUGUGCUGCAGUCCUAAUAUAGAACAAAAGUGUAGUGUUUUGUCCUAGAUUGAACAGUUGGGGAAAUAAAACUACUUUGUGUGGUAGGAGGUGCUGCCACAUACACAAGAAGACAAUUCCAAGACAGGUUAGGAUAUCUGCUUACUUUACACUCAUAGAAUAAAUAUAAUCAUAGCUGUGGUGCACUCUAAUGGGAACGUAGAGUAAAUUAUUGAUUUAUCACAUCUGAUAAGGAAGUCAGGAGAACAAUAAUCAUGCCUAGUACACAGAAAGAUUAGAAGCCUCCCACAGGCUGUAACAGAAGUGUAGGUGUGAGGCAUUCCUAAAAUCACCAUCAGCUUCCAGUGCCACAGGUACCACAGGCCUGGAGUCAGGGAAAUGCUUCAGGUGGAGGCCCGUGGCUUGUACGAUUUCCAUGGGAUCGUUCCCAAUAUUCAGCCCCUCACCUGCCUGCUGUGUAUGAGCAGGCAGACAGACGGACGGACAGACUGUGCCUUGUGUGUGAAUGAGGACAGCUGAGCCAUGCCGAAUCCUCCGGCCCGUGACCUUUUUGUGCACGCUGGCACCUGGCAGCAGCAGCAGCAAUCACUUGUGUGCGGCCUCGGAAACAGCUGCGGGUCUGACACGUCUGACACUGUGGUUAAAUUUAAAAAGGGUGAUGCAGGAGUACGUGUGAGGGUGGUAAAUUAACAAAAUUAAUUGCUGGCCCGUCAUAGACCAACUUGAAAGAAAACAGGGUUUUAAGAGAAACAGUCGGGGCUUGUAGUGGGCAAGCCAGGUCUCUUCUACUGAGCACAGCAAGGUUUGUGCAGAAAUGUUCGCAGAGCUGGGGUGUUGAGACCUGAUCCUGCACCUGUGUCUUGCUGCGGGCCAGAUCCUGGCUGUGGCCAUGAGCAGGCAAACCUCAGGUGCCCUCAGGCAGGCACAGGCCUCAGUGCAUACUGCACAGUGCUGCCUCCCCAUUCUCCUUCCCUGCAGUAUUUUUUAGCAGAAACCUGCGAAGGCGUCUCUGAGUAACCUGGCUGUGCUUGCAGACUGUAGGCUCUUGUUUUCUGUGGAACUAAGCACCAGGCAGAUCUAUUCAGUGUGCAGGAGAAAGGCUAAGGCAUCUGAUCCUGUCUUCAGAAAGAAGCGAUCUGUAACAAGCGGAGGAAAAUUUGAAAUAAAACUUGUCAAUUCAUAAAUGUUUUGUGGCAAGGCAUUCUAAGAUAGCAGAUGGCAGUGUAAAGGGGUUUUGCUUUUCGCUGUGUCUAACACCUUCAUUCUCUGUUUUAAGAAUAACGCUUUUCCAAUAACAGCUCAGAGCCAGUGCCGCAGAAAUCCUGGCUGACAGAAGAACUGCUGGUCGGCUGACAGGAGCACGGCUUGUGGGAACUUCGGGCUAUGCUCUUUGUCAGUAGUGAAAUUAAAGCUCAGGGAUCUUUCUUCUAAAAUGUGGCCCUACUUUCCAUGGGCACAAAGCAAUUACCGGUCUUCACUUGCUCAGUGUAAUUAAUAGAUGUGGUUUCCUUCACAAGCGUCAAGGGAUGCCAUGUUCAUCGUGGAACGGACUGCUCUGUCCAGAGUAAGGACAAGAAAAUUCCUCAGGAACCUGGGCCUCUCCUCUGGGAAGAGCAAUAAAUCUGUUGUGUACCACAAGGGAUUGGAAUAUUCACCAUAUCCCGUUAUCUCUCUGCACAUCAGAAGAGAAAAGAUAUCCUCUGCUCAGAAACGAAAAAAGACAUCCUCAGGGGUAAUUCAGUACAGGAAGCUGGCAGAGCUGCAGCCCUCUAUCACCUUUACAUGUAAUUUGCAAUUAUGUGUAAAGCUAAACCUUAGGAAAAGAGCAAUUUCAGUCUUCCUGGCUAGCCUGAAAGUCACCAUGCUACCCUGUGUAGCACAGUUACUGACAGAGCAGCUGUGUGGGUAGAGAUGCAUUUUUACAGAGUUAUUAGAGCAGGGAAUUGUGCUGGGAUUACUGGGUUCUUCUCCCAGCUCUGCCUUUGAUUUGUGGUGUGCGCAGACCCCUUAAUUUGUUUCUGUUUUCCCCAUCUGUGAAACCAAGAUAACAUCACAAGGGAAUUGUAGAGUGUGAUUCAUUAAUGUUUAUUAGACAGAGGGAAAUCCUUAAAUGAAUGGCACUGUAUUCCGGGAGGGCAAAGUUCAGGACUGCAAAGAGGCUGAUUAAACCCAAAUCUGCUAUUCCCAGGCUAGGAGGACAAAAAAAGAAAAUUGAAAAACCUUACCUACCCCUGUGCGUGCCAAAAGCAGUAUGUGAUUUAAAUAGAAUCAAGUAGAAUGUGCAUGUCUGCAUGCAUUCGUAUAUACAUGUGUAUCUAUGAAAACCAUAUAAUAAUGUAAUAAAAAUUAUCAGUAAAAGACUACCAAAAAGUGUGUUUGAAGUUUCCAGUAGGAAAUAGUAAAGCAGUGUAUAUGAUCACCAUUAACUGAGCAAGUUACUAGCGGCAACACGGCAUUAGUACAUUGUGAGGAAAUAAAUAUGAUACGCUUUCACAAAGGGAUGCAACAGCAUACAGCAGAUUGACAUGUUCCACUAUGUACCUAAGUGAUCAGAGCUAUAGGAUGGUUAGAGCCAUCUUACUGCCAGGCUGAU